UGACAACCCGAGAGGAUUCGAACUCUCUCGCCUCCGAAGAGACCAGGAUAUUAUGUUAAGGUGUGACCUUAACCUGGCGCCCCUUAGACCCGGCUCGGCCAGGUUGCC
rnacentral:tRNA from 1 species